UGCAGGACGAUCUGGCCAGAUCUUCGC
rnacentral:piRNA from 1 species